rnacentral:rRNA from 1 species
UACGUAGGGUGCAAACGUUGUUCGGAAUUACUGGGCGUAAAGCGCGUGUAGGCGGCCAUCUAAGUCGGGCGUGAAAUCCCACGGCUCAACCGUGGAAGUGCACUCGAAACUGGAUGGCUAGAGUCCUGGAGAGGAAGGUGGAAUGCUUGGUGUAGAGGUGAAAUUCGUAGAUAUCAAGCGGAACACCGGUGGCGAAGGCGGCCUUCUGGACAGUGACUGACGCUGAGACGCGAAAGCGUGGGGAGCAAACAGGG